UUUGACCUCGGAUCAGGUAGGGAUACCCGCUGAACUUAAGCAUAUCAAUAAGCGGAGGAAAAGAAACCAACAGGGAUUG
rnacentral:rRNA from 7 species